GGGUUGUGAGGUUAAGCGACUAAGCGUACACGGUGGAUGCCCUGGCAGUCAGAGGCGAUGAAGGACGUGCUAAUCUGCGAUAAGCGUCGGUAAGGUGAUAUGAACCGUUAUAACCGGCGAUUUCCGAAUGGGGAAACCCAGUGUGAUUCGUCACACUAUCAUUAACUGAAUCCAUAGGUUAAUGAGGCGAACCGGGGGAACUGAAACAUCUAAGUACCCCGAGGAAAAGAAAUCAACCGAGAUUCCCCCAGUAGCGGCGAGCGAACGGGGAGCAGCCCAGAGCCUGAAUCAGUAUGUGUGUUAGUGGAAGCGUCUGGAAAGGCGCGCGAUACAGGGUGACAGCCCCGUACACAAAAAUGCACAUGCUGUGAGCUCGAUGAGUAGGGCGGGACACGUGGUAUCCUGUCUGAAUAUGGGGGGACCAUCCUCCAAGGCUAAAUACUCCUGACUGACCGAUAGUGAACCAGUACCGUGAGGGAAAGGCGAAAAGAACCCCGGCGAGGGGAGUGAAAAAGAACCUGAAACCGUGUACGUACAAGCAGUGGGAGCACGCUUAGGCGUGUGACUGCGUACCUUUUGUAUAAUGGGUCAGCGACUUAUAUUCUGUAGCAAGGUUAACCGAAUAGGGGAGCCGAAGGGAAACCGAGUCUUAACUGGGCGUUAAGUUGCAGGGUAUAGACCCGAAACCCGGUGAUCUAGCCAUGGGCAGGUUGAAGGUUGGGUAACACUAACUGGAGGACCGAACCGACUAAUGUUGAAAAAUUAGCGGAUGACUUGUGGCUGGGGGUGAAAGGCCAAUCAAACCGGGAGAUAGCUGGUUCUCCCCGAAAGCUAUUUAGGUAGCGCCUCGUGAAUUCAUCUCCGGGGGUAGAGCACUGUUUCGGCAAGGGGGUCAUCCCGACUUACCAACCCGAUGCAAACUGCGAAUACCGGAGAAUGUUAUCACGGGAGACACACGGCGGGUGCUAACGUCCGUCGUGAAGAGGGAAACAACCCAGACCGCCAGCUAAGGUCCCAAAGUCAUGGUUAAGUGGGAAACGAUGUGGGAAGGCCCAGACAGCCAGGAUGUUGGCUUAGAAGCAGCCAUCAUUUAAAGAAAGCGUAAUAGCUCACUGGUCGAGUCGGCCUGCGCGGAAGAUGUAACGGGGCUAAACCAUGCACCGAAGCUGCGGCAGCGACGCUUAUGCGUUGUUGGGUAGGGGAGCGUUCUGUAAGCCUGUGAAGGUGUGCUGUGAGGCAUGCUGGAGGUAUCAGAAGUGCGAAUGCUGACAUAAGUAACGAUAAAGCGGGUGAAAAGCCCGCUCGCCGGAAGACCAAGGGUUCCUGUCCAACGUUAAUCGGGGCAGGGUGAGUCGACCCCUAAGGCGAGGCCGAAAGGCGUAGUCGAUGGGAAACAGGUUAAUAUUCCUGUACUUGGUGUUACUGCGAAGGGGGGACGGAGAAGGCUAUGUUGGCCGGGCGACGGUUGUCCCGGUUUAAGCGUGUAGGCUGGUUUUCCAGGCAAAUCCGGAAAAUCAAGGCUGAGGCGUGAUGACGAGGCACUACGGUGCUGAAGCAACAAAUGCCCUGCUUCCAGGAAAAGCCUCUAAGCAUCAGGUAACAUCAAAUCGUACCCCAAACCGACACAGGUGGUCAGGUAGAGAAUACCAAGGCGCUUGAGAGAACUCGGGUGAAGGAACUAGGCAAAAUGGUGCCGUAACUUCGGGAGAAGGCACGCUGAUAUGUAGGUGAAGUCCCUCGCGGAUGGAGCUGAAAUCAGUCGAAGAUACCAGCUGGCUGCAACUGUUUAUUAAAAACACAGCACUGUGCAAACACGAAAGUGGACGUAUACGGUGUGACGCCUGCCCGGUGCCGGAAGGUUAAUUGAUGGGGUCAGCGCAAGCGAAGCUCUUGAUCGAAGCCCCGGUAAACGGCGGCCGUAACUAUAACGGUCCUAAGGUAGCGAAAUUCCUUGUCGGGUAAGUUCCGACCUGCACGAAUGGCGUAAUGAUGGCCAGGCUGUCUCCACCCGAGACUCAGUGAAAUUGAACUCGCUGUGAAGAUGCAGUGUACCCGCGGCAAGACGGAAAGACCCCGUGAACCUUUACUAUAGCUUGACACUGAACAUUGAGCCUUGAUGUGUAGGAUAGGUGGGAGGCUUUGAAGUGUGGACGCCAGUCUGCAUGGAGCCGACCUUGAAAUACCACCCUUUAAUGUUUGAUGUUCUAACGUUGACCCGUAAUCCGGGUUGCGGACAGUGUCUGGUGGGUAGUUUGACUGGGGCGGUCUCCUCCUAAAGAGUAACGGAGGAGCACGAAGGUUGGCUAAUCCUGGUCGGACAUCAGGAGGUUAGUGCAAUGGCAUAAGCCAGCUUGACUGCGAGCGUGACGGCGCGAGCAGGUGCGAAAGCAGGUCAUAGUGAUCCGGUGGUUCUGAAUGGAAGGGCCAUCGCUCAACGGAUAAAAGGUACUCCGGGGAUAACAGGCUGAUACCGCCCAAGAGUUCAUAUCGACGGCGGUGUUUGGCACCUCGAUGUCGGCUCAUCACAUCCUGGGGCUGAAGUAGGUCCCAAGGGUAUGGCUGUUCGCCAUUUAAAGUGGUACGCGAGCUGGGUUUAGAACGUCGUGAGACAGUUCGGUCCCUAUCUGCCGUGGGCGCUGGAGAACUGAGGGGGGCUGCUCCUAGUACGAGAGGACCGGAGUGGACGCAUCACUGGUGUUCGGGUUGUCAUGCCAAUGGCACUGCCCGGUAGCUAAAUGCGGAAGAGAUAAGUGCUGAAAGCAUCUAAGCACGAAACUUGCCCCGAGAUGAGUUCUCCCUGACUCCUUGAGAGUCCUGAAGGAACGUUGAAGACGACGACGUUGAUAGGCCGGGUGUGUAAGCGCAGCGAUGCGUUGAGCUAACCGGUACUAAUGAACCGUGAGGCUUAACCUUACAACGCCGAAG
rnacentral:rRNA from 1 species